CAGCCACAUCAUAUUGAAACACCAGUUCAUGUAUGAUCACCAAAGUUAAGCAACAUCAAGUCCAGUUAGUAUCUAGAUGGGUGACCAACUGGGAAUACCAGGUAUUGUAAG